rnacentral:rRNA from 1 species
CAGUAAUGGCGAAUGAAGAGGGAACAGCUCAAUUUUGUAAUCUCCGUUGCCUUGCAACGGCGAAUUGUAGUUUCGAGAAGUACCUUCCCGGCGAAUCGACCUUGCCUGAGUUGCUUGGAACAGCACGUCAAAGAGGGUGACAACCCCGUACGUGGCAAGGUCGGUCGCUCGCGAUGUACUUUCAAAGAGUCGGGUUGCUUGGGAAUGCAGCCCAAAAUGGGUGGUAAACUCCAUCUAAAGCUAAAUAUUGGCACGAGACCGAUAGCGAACAAGUACCGUGAGGGAAAGAUGAAAAGGACUUUGAAAAGAGAGUUAAAGAGUACGUGAAACCGUUGAAAGGGAAGCGAAUGGAGUUAGCAAUUCGCCAGGUCAGAUUCAGCUUCGCCGCGUGCCGCGACGCUCGCGAUCUCGAUCUUUGUAGACGAGUCGUGUGCGGACGCGGCUCGGGGCGGGCGCACUUCUGGCGGGUGAGCGUCAACGUCGGUCUCGGCCGCGCUACAAGGUCGUCGGGAAGGUGGGCUCGCCUUCGGGCGAGCUGUUAAGCCCGGCGAACGCAUCGCGCGGCUGGGACCGUGGCAAAUCGUCGCGACGCGUGCCUACCCCUCGGGGCUGGCUGGUGUCCCGUGCGGUUGGUCCGGUUGUCGAUCGUGGCGGACGGCACGCCUGUGCGCUCAAACUGCUGCCGGUCAACAGCUCGGUGAUCACACACCACGCGUCAAGGACGUUGACGACCAUACGGCUCUAUCCGACCCGUCUUGAAACACGGACC